UGGGAGAGCGUCAGACUGAAGAUCUGAAGGUCGCGUGUUCGAUCCACGCUCACCGCAUCCUUUGCCGUUUUUGGUUUUUAGCUUUUUAGCUCUCUUUGUACAGCGGCCAGACACCGGAUGCUUUCCGGCUGAAAUGACCGUCGUACUGUCCCUUCCCUAAAUGAUAACAUCUUACCCACCGCUCGGGUCAGAAAAUAACGUAUAUGCUCUCACCGCCGCUGCACAGUGUUAAAUAAGAUCUGCGGAACUAGAUUAUUAGUUAUCUUGGUAUUGGAUGAUGUAAAGAUUCUACAUCAGCCCCUAAGAAGACUUAAGGGUUCUUUAAAGGGCUUGAGGUGGCAAAGAAAACCUGUGAAAGCUAUAUGGGCAAGCAACUGUGGAGUUCUCAAAGAAGUUAGUGAACCAGUUGGUAUAAACUAUGGCUUGUUGAUGAGGUGGCGUUUCAUAUGAAGUGACAUGCACCAACUGUUUGUGUGAGGAGUGGUUAGACAUCUCACUUGAAGCUAAAAAUAUGAUCAGGUACUGGUAUGUAAUAUUUUGAUUGAAUGAUUAAUUUACUAUUCUGAGUAGUAUUAGUUUUAUCUAUUGUUAUUUAUUAGCGGAUUUCCUUAGGUAGUGUUUGGGAGCAUGGAUUUCGGACAUUAAAUUUGGAUUUGGACAAAUUUUAAUACAAUUUUAUUGAACAUCUUAUCUAAA